rnacentral:rRNA from 1 species
GACGAACGCUGGCGGCGUGCUUAACACAUGCAAGUCGAACGGAAAGGCCUGCUUUCCCUUGUGGAUUGCGGGUACUCGAGUGGCGAACGGGUGAGUAACACGUGAGUGAUUUGCCCCUAACUUGGGUAUAAGCCUGGGAAACUGGGACUAAUUCCCGAUGGGGCUGCAGGGUGGGGCCGGUGGUGGUAGACGAGUUGUUAGUGGUUGGGGUUGGGCUCGCGGGCUAGCAGCUUGGCGGUGGGGGAAUGGGCUAGCAAGGGGGCGACAGGUAGCCGGCCUGGGGAGGUGGACGGCCGCAGGUGGGCUAGAUUACGACCCAGAGUCCUACCGGAGGCAGCAGGGGGGAAGAUGGCGCAAAGAGCGGAAGCCUGAUGCAGCGACGCAGCGUGGGGGAUGACGGCCUGCGGGUUGUAAACUCCUUUCGAACGCCAGGAAGCCACCUGGUUGGAAGGGUGGUGACGGUAGUGGUAGAAGAAGCACCGGCUAACUACGUG